AUUUCGAUGGCCAACCUAGAGCUGUUAAAGAAUCUUUGUUGUCAGCCAUACCUGGCAACUUCAGGUUAACUAAAUUAUGUGCCCAAAGCAAAUUUCACUCCCAAGCAAGAGUUUCCUACUUCUCUUUGUGGUGAUGUGUGAAGGAAGAAAGUG